rnacentral:tRNA from 1 species
GGGGACGUACUCAAGUGGUUGAAGAGUUCAGACUCGAAAUCUGAUAGGUCGGGCAACCGGCGCGUGGGUUCAAAUCCCACCGUCCUCG